rnacentral:rRNA from 1 species
CCUACGGGAGGCUGCAGUGGGGAAUAUUGCACAAUGGGGGAAACCCUGAUGCAGCGACGCCGCGUGAGCGAUGAAGUAUUUCGGUAUGUAAAGCUCUAUCAGCAGGGAAGAAAAUGACGGUACCUGACUAAGAAGCCCCGGCUAACUACGUGCCAGCAGCCGCGGUAAUACGUAGGGGGCAAGCGUUAUCCGGAUUUACUGGGUGUAAAGGGAGCGUAGACGGUUGUGCAAGCCAGGUGUGAAAGCCCGGGGCCCAACCCCGGGACUGCAGUUGGAACUGUGUGGCUGGAGUGUCGGAGAGGCAGGCGGAAUUCCUAGUGUAGCGGUGAAAUGCGUAGAUAUUAGGAGGAACACCAGUGGCGAAGGCGGCCUGCUGGACGAUGACUGACGUUGAGGCUCGAAAGCGUGGGGAGCAAACAGGAUUAGAUACCCGGGUAGUC